rnacentral:RNase_P_RNA from 1 species
GAAGCCUGUUAGGCCGUCGCUGAUGCAAUUUGGGAAACCAAGCAUUGGAGGAACGUCCGGACUGCAUAGGACAGCGCAGGAGCUAACGGCUCUCCAGUGAAAACCGCAAGGCAUAAGCUGAGGAUCAGAGCAACAGAGACGAGCCAGUUCAGUCUGGGUGAAACGGGCAAUCUCUGCGCGCAGCAAUACCAAGUAGGCCAGUUUUGAGGUGGUUCCGCUGAGCUGGCGGGUAGGUAGCAUCGAGCUGAUUGGUGACAAUCAGCCCAGAGGAAUGACGGUCACGUUGGGGGCAACUCCAACGCACAGAAUCCGGCGUAUCGACAGGCUUCACAC